UAGGGAAUCUUCGGCAAUGGACGAAAGUCUGACCGAGCAACGCCGCGUGAGUGAAGAAGGUUUUCGGAUCGUAAAACUCUGUUGUUAGAGAAGAACAAGGACGUUAGUAACUGAACGUCCCCUGACGGUAUCUAACCAGAAAGCCACGGCUAACUACGUGCCAGCAGCCGCGGUAAUACGUAGGUGGCAAGCGUUGUCCGGAUUUAUUGGGCGUAAAGCGAGCGCAGGCGGUUUCUUAAGUCUGAUGUGAAAGCCCCCGGCUCAACCGGGGAGGGUCAUUGGAAACUGGGAGACUUGAGUGCAGAAGAGGAGAGUGGAAUUCCAUGUGUAGCGGUGAAAUGUGUAGAUAUAUGGGGGAACACCAGUGGCGAAGGCGGCUCUCUGGUCUGUAUCUGACGCUGAGGCUCGAAAGCGUGGGGAGCAAACAGG
rnacentral:rRNA from 1 species